rnacentral:rRNA from 1 species
AUUGAACGCUGGCGGCAUGCUUUACACAUGCAAGUCGAACGGUAACAGGGUGCUUGCACCGCUGACGAGUGGCGAACGGGUGAGUAAUGCGUCGGAACGUGCCGAGUAGUGGGGGAUAACGCAGUGAAAGUUGUGCUAAUACCGCAUACGUUCUGAGGUAGAAAGUGGGGGACCUUCGGGCCUCACGCUAUUCGAGCGGCCUGAGUUUGAUUAGCUGGUAGGUGAGGUAAAGGCUCACCUAGGCGACGAUCAGUAGCGGGUCCGAGAGGAUGAUCCGCCACACUGGGACUGAGACACGGCCCAGACUCCUACGGGAGGCAGCAGUGGGGAAUUUUGGACAAUGGGCGAAAGCCUGAUCCAGCCAUGCCGCGUGUCUGAAGAAGGCCUUCGGGUUGUAAAGGACUUUUGUCAGGGAGGAAAUCCCUAGUGCUAAUAACACUGGGGGAUGACAGUACCUGAAGAAUAAGCACCGGCUAACUACGUGCCAGCCGCCGCCGUAA